AGCUCUCUCCAUUCUCUCUCCCCAUAACCGAAGCCCUAGUCUUUAUCUACCCUCCAUUGCUGCCAUUUUCCCUCCAAUAGCAAGAGCACUCUUUCCCCAUUGAAGGAGGGGAGAAACUCAAGAGCACACUAAGGAAGACUAGGCAUGACUUUGAUCUUGUGUUCUAGGCUUCAAGAGAGGCUUGUAUGGGUAGUACCUCAAGGAGUUAGCACUUUGGUGAUCUAGUGGAAGCAAGGUAAGAAAUCUUGGCAAUUGCAUGUUUUCUUCCUCAUCUAAGUUUUCUACCCUAAUCCUUUUCUUAAAAAUCUGCAUGUGGAGCUUGGGGCUCGGUUUUUAGAGUUUGGAGCACUAAAGGAAGGUCUUGAAGAGCUAAGGAACACAUCUCCAAGCUAGGGCUUCGAAAGGCACGUGCAAAAGCAAAGUCGAGCAGUGAGCGCCAGAGUCUGCUUGUGGAUAUGUACAUGUGGCCCGACUUGGGGAGGUUUUUGAUGGAACACCAUUUUGAAAAGAAACGCUAGGAGCUUGCUAUUUCUUUUAUGACAAUUGUUUUGCUUUAAUUAUGUAAAAGGGUAGUUGUAAUUCUGUUUGCUAAAACUAAAAGUGUGCGCACACGAUCUUUUAAAAGUGUUUUUAUGGACUUUUGGUCAAAUGAGUUAAAAGUAAAAAUUUUAAAUUUAUGCAUGAUUUUGGUCUUGUAUGUUUUGAGGGUUGUUAUAGGGACUAUCUGUUGUGGUUUUAUGCCCUAA